UGGGGAAUUUUGGACAAUGGGCGAAAGCCUGAUCCAGCAAUGCCGCGUGUGUGAAGAAGGCCUUCGGGUUGUAAAGCACUUUUGUCCGGAAAGAAAUCCUUGGCUCUAAUACAGUCGGGGGAUGACGGUACCGGAAGAAUAAGCACCGGCUAACUACGUGCCAGCAGCCGCGGUAAUACGUAGGGUGCAAGCGUUAAUCGGAAUUACUGGGCGUAAAGCGUGCGCAGGCGGUUUGCUAAGACCGAUGUGAAAAUCCCCGGGCUCAACCUGGGAACUGCAUUGGUGACUGGCAGGCUAGAGUAUGGCAGAGGGGGGUAGAAUUCCACGUGUAGCAGUGAAAAUGCGUAGAGAUGUGGAGGAAUACCGAUGGCGAAGGCAGCCCCCUGGGCCAAUACUGACGCUCAUGCACGAAAGCGUGGGGAGCAAAACAGGAUUAGAUACCCUGGUAGUCCACGCCCUAAAACGAUGUCAAACUAGUUGUUGGGGAUUCAUUUCCUUAGUAACGUAGCUAAACGCGUGAAAGUUGACCGCCUGGGGAGUACGGUCGCAAAGAUUAAAAACUCAAAGGAAUUGACGGGGUCAUAGCUGUUUCCU
rnacentral:rRNA from 1 species